ensembl:lncRNA
UUUUUUUUUUUUUUUUUUUUUAAUAUGUAAGAACAUUAGUGUCAGCCACCCCAAUAACAAAUUCAUGGUUACAUCACAGCUCCCACAGUAGAGGGAAAGACUGUGGCAUAUAAAGAUUAUGCAGAUUACAAAUAUUUUGCAGUACCUCAGUGAUGCUUUGCCAAGCUUUUGCAAUUUCUAGAUACAAUCCAAAUCAAAUAUCCUGUUUUGUAAAACUUUGAAUUUCAAAGUCUUCUUUUGUUACUGUUUCUAUUUUCCUUGCAUCGCUGUACCAAAGCGAUGGAGUUUCUGGCAGUUCUGUACAACCUCUGCGUUCCUUUUAAAUUAGUCCACUUCAUACCUUUUUAUUUGAUGACACCUGUCCUCCCAGCCCACUGUCAUGAGCUACCGAAUGACUUUGAAAAAUCUACUGUCAUACCUAGAUCACUUCACACAAAAAAUCAAUUCACCGUUAAAAUAGUCAAACUCAAACCCAUAGUAGUCCUGUCUGGAGAAAGGAAAUGAUGAUCUGCCCUUCCAGAGUGAUAUGUCCUUGGCUGCUUCCAUGAGUGCUUCCAUUGGAUUAAAAUUGUCCUGCUUCUUCCUGCUCUGGUUGAGUCAGAGAAGACCAGCUGUAGUUGUGGCUGCACUCAUAAAUGUGCAGACCAUGGCGGUGGACCAUGGGGAGGGGAACAGCAGCUUGUGCCUAAAGGGUAAAGCAUUCCUUACUGUAGCAGCUGGAUGCAUCCUGCUGUGGGCUGAGGGAGCACUUCUGUGGUGGAGCUGUAUCAUCCUGGAGAAGUCCCUGAGCUCCUGUGCCAUGUGCAGCAGGGUGCUGAGGAGCUGGCAGGUAGGCCCCAGUACCUUGUGCAGGGGAGCCUCAGGAGCUGUACAAUUACAGGUGUGAGCUGCCUUCCCAGGGUCUGCAGCACCUUGUGCAGUUGAGGCAAUGGUAGAAAAACAACUGUGGGAUUUUUUUCUUUGAGAUCAGUGUUCCAGUAAAUCAUUAAAUUCCAAAGAAUAAACAAGUUCCCCCAGGAAGAAGCAAUUCAUUUGUGUUACUCUCUGACCUAUUAAAAUGCAAAAAUUGCUGUGGAAUUUACUCUGUGGUGAUAUGUUCCAGCGGUGGAGCAGUUUUCAUUACAGCUAGUGUUUUUCUAAUUAUAACUAUAAAUAAAAAUUAACCUCCAUCUCGAUUCAAAAUGGGUCCCACAGAUUGUCAGGUGCAUAGGUGAUGCAGUGCAGAGAGACAAAUGCAGCGGCACCUGCACCAUCAUCAUAUUGACUUACAACUUGGGGGUUAAUUAUUGAAUUCUUUGACUAAAAAUGGCUGCCCCAAUACAUGGUAAUUUCCAGAACGCUUAAAAGAAGCUUGACAGCUUCUCAUUAGAUUACAAUAGACAAACUGCCUGAAUCUACAGUGCAAUUUUAUUAAGGAUGCCCAAGUAUAAAAACAAGAGCUUUUCAUUUUGGUAUUGUAUGCUUUACAUUGCAUUGAUUUGCUUCUAUUGAUUUUUAAUAAAAAAGUGUUUUUCCAAAUGGUGUAAAUUAAUUGUUAUUGCACCACAGAAAACAGAACACUGCACCACAGUAAUUAACAUUUCCUGGCACAGAAUCCAGAGAGCUUGCUGCUGAAAUGGGCUUUAAAGCAUAUUUUGACUGUACUGCAAGCAUUGGUGUGUCUAUGAAGCUGUGAUGUGGCAGGCACAGCAACUGCUUUCACAGCUUGGAUAUGAGCAGAUACCCUCCAGGGCUCACAAGGCACUGUGUCCAUGAGAUAGAGGACAAACAGGCUAUUUGCUCUCCUUUCACUAUUUUUCCACAGCUGUUUGAGGACUUUGGAGACUGCUUUUGCCAAGCUGUGGAAAUAUGUCCUCUCUUUCUUUCUGUUACCUUCAAUUCUUGGUAUCCACCCAUUAUCUUUUGUCAUAUACAAGAGUUGCAUGCUUUAGGGAUAUGGCUCUUCACUGCUUUUCAUGUAUGAAGGUCCUCAUGCCUGGCUGAAGCUGCUUGGCUCUGUCAUGGAAUGGGGAGCUUGGACAUACCAAACAAGGUGAGGUAAAAAAGCCUGUACAGCAGGUAUCUCCAGUGUCAGCAGGAUCAUGGAAACUGGACACAAGCAUCUCUUCUUCCCCAUCAGGCACCUUUAGAGGAUUUAAGCAAUGUUAAGCAAACUUGGAUAGUACAUAGUGAAUACAUCCACCUCUUUAAAUACUAUAGUUUAAGUACAAAGGAAAAAAGGCACCUUCUUUAUAUAUAGCCAGUGGGGAAACUAAGGCACAGGAAACAGAAAAGAUUGAGAGGCGAAUCCUGUCAUGUUAGCAGCUGCACCUCAAACACAAUGCAAUCCCUUCUUUUGGGGACAUUUAAGUUAUUUUGUAGUUGUAAGCUACGUGUUACACAAAAGGAAUUUUUCCUUCAAAUGUUUUAUCAGAUGACAGUGAUAAUUCAAUUAACAAAAAAAGAAAACUCUACAUACCUUACUCCUCAGAUGAUCUUCUUUUGUACUAAGUUAAAACAUACCUUAAAACAAACAAACAAACAAAUAAAAGCAGUUUACCUUGGAAAAUACCUGUGGAAAAAAAGGUAAAAAAUCACCAGUAGAGAAUUACUGCACAGCUGGAAGUGGAAGGGUGCAUCUUCAUUCCCAGGAAACUCCUCAUGAACAGAAUCUCUGUAUGAGAGAGGAACCCAAAACAAGGAUGGCUGCUGCAGCCAUCCAAUCCUUCACACUCACAGCUAGAGGAACAGCUAAUGCUCUCAUCUAGUAACCAAGAUCCUUUAGCAAGUCAGGUAUCUGAUUUCUAUCUCUUGUCCUAACCACCUAUGCCAGAGACGCUUAAACUAUGAUUAACGCCGUAUUAUACACCCUUCUUAUAGACAUUUUUUUUUUUUGGUAUGUCAGGGGAAAUCACAGGAGUGCACACGUUCCCAAGAAGUUCAGAUAUCCUCCUUGUUGUUCACUUAGUGGCGAUCCCAAAACUUUGAUUCUCAAACCUUGAAAUUCAGUGGAGAUUUACAAAUAAAUAGAAAAGAGAAUUAAUAAAAUAGUCUUUAUAUUAAUGAGAUUAGUUAAAUUAAAAAAAUUAUUCUUUAUGAAUAUUGUUUUCUGCUCUUAGUCAUUUUUCCAAAAACCUUGCCACUGGGUGCAAACUUUGAGCCUGAAAAGUAUGCAGUAUCUGAUCAGCUGAUACAAAUCAGCGGAGCUGUGCUGUGUUCUAUCCACUGAGAAUGUGACAUUCCAUUUUUGUCUGUUCUCACACAACUAGGUUUGAUACCAGGAGCAGGAGGAAAUUCUGUGAAACUCAUACUGAAACCAGUGGAAGUAUGAGAUGGGAAGGACUUCCUCCUAGCAGGUUUGGAAGGGGUCAUCUGUCACAAAAGCCACAAUAACUCUUAACAAGCAAGUGGACAAGAUGAGACCAAUAUGAAAAGAGAAAAGUUUGGAAGAGAGCACCAUGAGACUUCUACUUUCUUUAGGAAAUUGUAUCCCAAUGGUCUGAUAUGAAAUGUAUCUAUACCAUUAAGUGGAUUAAGAUGUUAUAGUGCUAGUCAUGCAGAUAAGGUUUUGUUACCAUGAUGGAGAUCUGUAGGAGAAAGAAUGUCUGCCUGUUGAGGAGAUAAGGCAAUAAAACCACUCUGCUUUUGUACGUCUGUGAUCCAGUGGGGAGGAGCUUUUUCCACUAUUGAGAAGUUCAGGUUCAACAAAAUCUUCUUGCAGUCCUACUUGGUGACCUCAUGAUGGAUUCAGGCAAAGCCUUUUGUUUGAGAUAGGAUAUGAAUUGAAACAAGAUGGUAAAGAAAAACAUUGAAUCAGAAUUCAAUAGAAGUGCAAAUUUGAAAGUCUCCCCCUAGCAGACGUAUUUUAAUGAAUGCAUAGUUACAGGGUGACUGUGUUAUCUCACUUUUCUUGUGCCAUUAACUGAGAAGAGAGUUUAAAAAAAAGUGUCCCCACAGAAAUCUUAUUCAUAUGUUUUAUUAUAUGCUCCAGCACGGGCACCACUUUAGUUUAAUGGUGUGUUGGAUGAUGGUACAAAUUUAUAGCCAAAGGUUUACAUCACAGACAGCUGGAAUGAAUAACAAUAAAUUAAUUUAAAGUGCUACAAAAGUGCUCCCCAUAGUAUGCAGUGCUUAUGUGCUCAAGGCUAAUAAUUUAUAAAUGCACAUCUUUUAUAAUCCUGAUCUAAAGUCCUGAAAGCAGCUAGUUAAAAAGCAGUCACAUGACAUAAAUUAUUUUUAUUAAUAUUUCAAAUGCACGAUUAGGGUGGGCACUGUGGUCAUUAGCAUUAGAUAGCUUUCAUUUAUGACCAAGUGCAAUGAAGCAACAGCCAGAGACAGCAAAACUAGCUAAGCAAUGGCACAACAAGUGUGAGAUGGAUGCUUCUUCUUUCCCAUGAUUUUCAUAUGUUAGUAAUCAUCAUGGCUGCAGCUAUGCGCUAUUUUCUUGACUAGCAGUCCUUUUCCUUUCAUUACUCUGCUAUGUUUAGCACAUCAGCUACUCACCAGGCCCAAAUGGUGAAGCCACGUGCAGCUGGGUGCAGUCAGAGGCCAUAGUGCUUCUCCUUGUGGCUUCUUUCCAUUCACAGACACUGAACACAGUGAGAGCACUGCUCUAAGAAUGCCUCUGAGACUUCCCUCGUUGCAGCAGUAGUGCUAAUGUGAACACUAAACUAGUAUCAAACGUUCAUGCAAACUCUUGCUUGGAUAAGAUAAGUUAUUUUGAAGUGUUUAUCUUGCUAAGAGGGGACACAACCAUUUUUGGAUCUAUGAAAGUAUUAGAGAGAAUUUAUGUCUCCAGAGAAACAAAUAUUUGCAGAAGAGCAUUGUGGAGAAUAAAGAUGAGGCCACACCAUGAGAUUCAUAGAAUCAUACAACCAUUAUGGUUGGAAAGAUGUCUAAGAUCAUGUAGUUCAGUCAUCAACCCAUGCCUGUGACCACCCUAGACUAUGUUACUCAGUGCAGUAUCCACCCUUAUCUUGAAAACCUCUGGAGAUGGUGACUCCCUGGGCAGCCUGUUCAAUCUUUUGGGUGGAGGAUAUGUUAUUUUCCCAGCAUUACCCAACAUUAAACUGCAGUCUUCUCUAGUUUAAGAAUGUAUUUACUCUCACUGGUAGAAGUAAAAAAGUAGCAGCUCAAAUAACUUCCAUAGCACUGCAUCUUUUUCUUCAGUGCACUUCUCAGGCAUAUCUCACUACUGGGAUAUCCCUGUCUUAAUGCUAUCGUUAUUUUCUCCAAGAAAAUUUGGCCUCCUCUCACUUUUCUUGGAGAAAAACAUUUACUUCUUGAAUGCAGUGUCAUAAAGCUGAGGUUACAGAAGGAGUCUUUCACAUUGGAAGAAGGAUCGUGAAUAAUUUCUGUGUCUCUCAUUCUGGGUGACUGCCAUAUAUCGGACUACAUAUUUGAAUCUUGGCAGAUGAUUGGAAAAUAUACACUACAAGCAACCCCAUUCACUUCAGCAGUUCUAGCAAAGUAAGCAAAGUGAUACAGAAAAUGGGCUGGAGUAUUAUAGCCUUGGCCCUUCACUCCUACUUUAAAGGAAAAAAAACCUUUUUGCACUGCUCACAAUGUAAGCUUCUAAGCAGCAAUUUGCUAUUAUUUUUUAAUAUUGUAGGCCUCUACAAGCUCAUGGCCUCUCUCCUCUUCCUUUCUAGCUUUCUUUGAAAGUACUUUGUAAUUGAACACAUUUUCCAGAGGUCAAUGGGGCAUAUUUGCAUUUUGAUACAUUCUAAUUUUUUUUGCCUCCAGCACGCCACUCCAAAGCACUGUGCUAAUCAGAAGCAAAUAAUGAUCUCCUAGGUGCUGUAAGUGGGUGACUAGGCACAAAAAGGCAUAACAACAUGCAAAAAUUAGUGAGGAAAAAAUACACGGUAAAAUAAAUAAAUAAGAAACAGAGUGAUUAUGCUGGCAAAAGCGUUUAGAUUUGUAAGCUGAAGUCCUGCAUGGAACAAGCAGCUAAUUUGUUUCUGUGCGCCACUGAAGGGAUAAGGGCGUUAAGGGCACUCCUGUGCUGAUGGAGGGCUGGAUUCUCUGUGCUCAUUGCUCAUACACACGUCAGUGUACCCAGAUGAUGCAUAAGCAUUUCUGAGGGCUUUUUAUACCACCAGGAAACACCUUGUGUUCUGAAAAAUCCAAAUACAAGAUUAGGCAGGAUCUAGAAAAAUGGGGCAGUCCCCAAAGCAUGGGUUUAUCUGCAUGGAGGUCUUUUAUUUUUAGCACUGGUGACAGGUUUUCACUCAAGCAUCCCUGUCCCAGUGGGGAUGGGGUGUAUGUGAGAAGGAGAAGAUUGGAGCUGAGAAGAUUAUUUCAUUCUCAAAAUGUUUUUCUUAUUUUAGUUUGAAUAUCUUUAGCAGACAGAGGUGCAGAGAAACACGAGCCCUUCCCCACUAACUGCAGCAUCAGGAGAAAAGCUCCUGAUAAGCAGAUGCUGCUCAGGCAGCACUCAGCCAGGCAGUGUGUGCUUAUGCACGAGAGAUGGAGGUACCGGCAGGCAGCGAGCAGAGGCACUGCGGUGAGUGUGUGUGUGGCUGUGAGAGAGGGGCAAUGCAGGUUUGUCUGCAGAAGGAAACAAUGCCUGAGCAAAGCUGAGCUGCUCCAGUGAGCAUUUUGUGUGUGUGUUUGGAAGAAGGCAAAGAGAAGCAGCCAAGGGAGAGAGACUGAAUGGAAAAGAAGGACUGCCGAAGUGGAAUAUGGUGUGGAAAUGUGAACGUAGACAUGGACACUGAAAAUGCCCCAAACAGUUCUUUCUGUCGCAAGAGCAACAAAACUCUUCCAUCUAUGCUUUCACUGCUUCUCUAUAGGUAUAAGAGGGCUGUCAAAAAGCUGCAGAGUUACACCCCUGGAGGAGGGAGGAGUGUGGCUCUCCAUUGUUACCAGUCUACUUCAACUUCCCAGAUGAAAG